GGGUAAGGGGGUUUUUUGUUUUGUUUUUUGAGACAGGGUGUCACUCUGUAGCCCAUACUGUAGUGCAGCGGAGUGAUCAUAGGUCACUACAAACUGGACCUCCUGCUGCCAGGACUGAAGCGAUUUUCCAAUCAGCCUGUAAAGUAGCUGCGACCGCAGGGGCGCACCACCAUGCUCCGCGAAAUAUUUUUGUAGAAAUGGGUUCUCCCUGUGUUUCCCAGGCUGUGAGGUGACGAUUUUCUACGCGCCUUUUUAGUAUCGGUUUCUUAUCGUUGUGCCGCCAGUUGCGAAGACACCUAACACUAAUUGUUUUACACGUGAAGACAACCGAAAGUUGAACUAUAUGAAAUUGCUGAUAUUCAACCAUGUUUGACCUACAAAAAUGACAGCUUCAUUUGGUUCAAGAACUUACAGAGGCUAGCAGAGUAGCCUUCACAAGCCAAGUGACAAGAUAAUCUCUACAGAGACAGGCUGGUAGUACCACAACAACCUCUUAUGCCCACUCUUCUUCGUAUAUUUGCCAUAACUAAAAUAGUUGUCAAUUUCAAAUGUAUGAUCCUAAGAAAUGACUUUUUACCAGCACUUAGUACUCAAAGGCAUUAACUGAGGUUUCAUUAACUUGCAUCUCCUGGAAGAAGCUAAAUUAUUUAUUAACAAAAAGCCCAUUAAAACUAGAAAUCCAAAAAUAGAUGAAGAUGAGAGCUUGCAAGUCAUAGUUUCAAUGACCGACUUUUUGGCCACUGAAAUAGCUGAAGACCACUAAGAACAGCAGGUCCUCGCUGCAGCAGAGAGCCAAGGAGUGAUGCACAGUCCCUCAAGUGCAUUAGUAGGGAAGACGGAACAAGUAACUUUAAUAGAAGGUGGAAUAACAUAGUGCCACAAAAAAGGUACAGAAUUCAAAGGAGAAAGAGCACAUCAGGUUUGAGGAGUCAAGAAGGGGUAGCAUUCAAGAUGAAACUUAAUGAAGUGUCAGGAUUUCAACAAUCUAGACAGAGGAAAGAGCAUAAUGGGAAAACAGAACCACUGGAGAGGAAACAUACUCCGGAAACAGCCAGUGAUGUAGUUUACGGAACACAGGGUACGACGGUAUAGAGAAGUCUACCGUGGGACACCCCAACAUUUCAGCCCCAAAUCAGAAAAAGGUCACCCUCUGAAAUACAAGAUAGUAAACACAGCAUUUAUUUGUUUAUUUUUAUUUUUUAUUUUUUUGAGACAGAGUCUUGCUCUGUCACCCAGGCUGGAGUGCAAUUGCACAAUCUCAGCUCACUGCAACCUCUGCCUCCGGGUUCAAACAAUCCUCAUGCCUCAGCCUCCCGAGUAACUGAGAUUCCAGGCACUUACCACCAUGCCCAGCUAAUUUUUGUAUUUGUAGUAGAGACGGGGUUUCACUAUGUUGGCCAGGUUGGCCUUAAACUCCUGACGUCAAGCGAUCAGCUCAUCUUGGCCUCCCAAAGUGCUGGGAUUACAGGCGUGAGCCACAGUGCCAAUACAGUAAAUACGGCAUUUAAUACGUUAAGGUAGUCGUCCAAGAAAGUCAUUCUGUAUAUGAGAAGACACAAAUGUAUUACUGAGGGUAGGUAAAUUCAGAAGUUCAGUCUGUAUUCCAGUAUGAUCUGGCUGGGCUUGACCAACAUAAAGAAACCCCAUCUCAAAAAAUUAGCCAGGCAUGGUGGCACAUGCCUGUGAUCCCAGCUACUUGGGUGGCUGAGGCAGGUGAAUCACUUGAACCCUGGAAGUGGAGGUUGUGGUGAGCCAAGAUCGCGCCACUGCACUGAAGCUUGGGCAACAAGAGCAAAAUUUUAUCUCAAAAAAAAAAAAAAAAAAAAUCUGGCGGGGGCAUGGUGGCUCAUGCCUGUAAUCCCAGCCCUUUGGGAGGCCGAGGUGGCAGAUCACCUGAGGUCAGGAGUUUGAGACCCGCCUGACCAACAUUGAGAAACCUUGCCUCUACUACAAUUACAAAAUUAGCCAGACCUGGUGGCACAUGCCUAUAAUCCCAGCUACUCAGGAGGCUGAGGCAGGAGCAUCCUUGAACCCAGAGGUGGAGGUUGAGGUGAGCUGAGAUCACGCCACUGCACUCCAGCCUGGUCAACAAGAGCAAAACUCCAUCUCAAAAAAAAAAGUGUUUUUAAACAAACACUUACUCUUUCACUUGCUUUCACUGAACUGCUAUGUAUUCAGUUUACAGGGUGCAAAAUGUCAUUAGCAGACAUUUAUAAAACUUUUAAUGAACACAACUGACAGAAUCAUUACUAUACCUUCUAAUAACUAGAGAAUGACCAUGAAAAUCUUUUGGACCAGAAAAAGGUUUGGCAUAUAUUGUGGAAAUAAACAUUCGAGAACUGUCAAAGACAAUGCCAAAUCAUGCAUUUUCUUUUCACGGCAAAUGAAGACACCUCAAAUGAGAUCCAGAAGAAACAAGAGACGGUGAAAUCAGAUAGAUAUACAUUUCAUACAUUACACCAAAUACAGAGGAAAAAAGUUUCAAUAUAUUUAAAAAAGAAAGGGCUUGAAAAUAUGAGUAAGGAGACCAUUUUUAAAAACAAACAGAUUUUUUAAAAGAACGACAUAGUAAAAAUGAUUGAAAACCUCUUUUAAAAAAACUCAAAUUCAAUAGAUAGUACAAAAAGCAAAUUAUACACACCUGAAGAGAAAAUUGCCAAACAAGAUAAUAUAUCCUUUCGUAGUUUUUCAUUGCCUGUUCACUUACUGAGAGUAGGGUGGUGACAGUCUCACUAGAAACAUAAUUAAAUAGCAACACAGCAUUUAAAGCGGUGUUUUCCAGAGGGAUAGACAGGCCCCAUGUGAAGGCAUAGAAUUGAGUCAGUAGGAAUAAAUGCUAGCUCUUACCGAGUUCUUACUCUAUAACACAGGGUGCUAAGCACAUUACAAAUAUGUCUCCUUUUAUUCUCACACUGACCCUAUACAAAUAUAGAAAGAUAAAAGGUCUACACCAAGGCUCAGCAAGUGACUUGUUCAAGGUCACAAAACUAGUACAUGUAGAAACCAACAUGUAUUCUCCAAGCCUGCCUCCAAGUAACCAACUUGAUAUACCCAAUAUAGGUCAACAGAAAUAUAUCUUACUUUGGGCUGUCUUUUACCUUGGCAAACCAUACAGCUUCUAUUGACAACAAUUCUCUUCUUGAUUAAUCCUUGAGUACUCUUUUCAACCAGGCCUGGACCUCAGACUUCUGUAUCCAGUUUUAGCAAGAAUCCUGCUAAGUCAGUUUAUAGAGAACGCCCAACCCUUAAUAUCUAAUCAACUUCUUCGCCCCCUUCCCCUACCAACUCUUGAUGUCUCAGCCCUUGACCUGCCUUUAGCAAGAAGUCUGUUAGGCCAGUUUAGCAAGAAUUCCUGAUGUCCCCUCUUAGUAAUUUCCCACCUGUAAGGUCCUCGCUGUGUCCCUUGGCUAUAAACUCCCAGCUGUCUUUGCUGUAUUCAGAGUUGAGCCUGAUCUCUCAUCCCUACUAUAA